AGAGUUUGAUCCUGGCUCAGAUUGAACGCUGGCGGCAUGCCUUACACAUGCAAGUCGAACGGCAGCACGGGUGCUUGCACCUGGUGGCGAGUGGCGAACGGGUGAGUAAUACAUCGGAACAUGUCCUGUAGUGGGGGAUAGCCCGGCGAAAGCCGGAUUAAUACCGCAUACGAUCCAUGGAUGAAAGCGGGGGACCUUCGGGCCUCGCGCUAUAGGGUUGGCCGAUGGCUGAUUAGCUAGUUGGUGGGGUAAAGGCCUACCAAGGCGACGAUCAGUAGCUGGUCUGAGAGGACGACCAGCCACACUGGGACUGGGACACGGCCCAGACUCCUACGGGAGGCAGCAGUGGGGAAUUUUGGACAAUGGGCGAAAGCCUGAUCCAGCAAUGCCGCGUGUGUGAAGAAGGCCUUCGGGUUGUAAAGCACUUUUGUCCGGAAAGAAAUCCUUGGCUCUAAUACAGUCGGGGGAUGACGGUACCGGAAGAAUAAGCACCGGCUAACUACGUGCCAGCAGCCGCGGUAAUACGUAGGGUGCAAGCGUUAAUCGGAAUUACUGGGCGUAAAGCGUGCGCAGGCGGUUUGCUAAGACCGAUGUGAAAUCCCCGGGCUCAACCUGGGAACUGCAUUGGUGACUGGCAGGCUAGAGUAUGGCAGAGGGGGGUAGAAUUCCACGUGUAGCAGUGAAAUGCGUAGAGAUGUGGAGGAAUACCGAUGGCGAAGGCAGCCCCCUGGGCCAAUACUGACGCUCAUGCACGAAAGCGUGGGGAGCAAACAGGAUUAGAUACCCUGGUAGUCCACGCCCUAAACGAUGUCAACUAGUUGUUGGGGAUUCAUUUCCUUAGUAACGUAGCUAACGCGUGAAGUUGACCGCCUGGGGAGUACGGUCGCAAGAUUAAAACUCAAAGGAAUUGACGGGGACCCGCACAAGCGGUGGAUGAUGUGGAUUAAUUCGAUGCAACGCGAAAAACCUUACCUACCCUUGACAUGGUCGGAAUCCUGCUGAGAGGCGGGAGUGCUCGAAAGAGAACCGGCGCACAGGUGCUGCAUGGCUGUCGUCAGCUCGUGUCGUGAGAUGUUGGGUUAAGUCCCGCAACGAGCGCAACCCUUGUCCUUAGUUGCUACGCAAGAGCACUCUAAGGAGACUGCCGGUGACAAACCGGAGGAAGGUGGGGAUGACGUCAAGUCCUCAUGGCCCUUAUGGGUAGGGCUUCACACGUCAUACAAUGGUCGGAACAGAGGGUUGCCAACCCGCGAGGGGGAGCUAAUCCCAGAAAACCGAUCGUAGUCCGGAUUGCACUCUGCAACUCGAGUGCAUGAAGCUGGAAUCGCUAGUAAUCGCGGAUCAGCAUGCCGCGGUGAAUACGUUCCCGGGUCUUGUACACACCGCCCGUCACACCAUGGGAGUGGGUUUUACCAGAAGUGGCUAGUCUAACCGCAAGGAGGACGGUCACCACGGUAGGAUUCAUGACUGGGGUGAAGUCGUAACAAGGUAACC
rnacentral:rRNA from 1 species